UACGUAGGGUGCAAGCGUUAAUCGGAAUUACUGGGCGUAAAGCGUGCGCAGGCGGUUUUGUAAGUCUGACGUGAAAUCCCCCGGGCUCAACCUGGGAAUUGCGUUGGAGACUGCAAGGCUGGAGUCUGGCAGAGGGGGGGGUAGAAUUCCACGUGUAGCAGUGAAAUGCGUAGAGAUGUGGAGGAACACCGAUGGCGAAGGCAGCCCCCUGGGUCAAGACUGACGCUCAUGCACGAAAGCGUGGGGAGCAAACAGG
rnacentral:rRNA from 1 species